AAAGCUUUAUCGGUGGUAUGUUNUCGAAUUUACUAAAUGGGUGCAAAUUCCCACUGNUCAAAUAAAGGACGAGAAGACCCUAGAAANUUUGUAUGAUUUGUNAGGGAUAAAUUUUUGUUGGGGCAACAUAGUAACAUUUAAUUUACAAUANUGAACAUGUCACAAGGGUAGGAAGAUUAAAUUACUCUAGGGAUAACAGCGUAAUUCUNCAAGAGUUUGCGACCUCGAUGUUGGACUAGGAAGCCGAUGCUUAGAAGGUGANAAGCUAUGCUCUGUUCGAGCNAGAUAAUCCUACGUGAUCUGA
rnacentral:rRNA from 1 species